CUUGGAGGAUAGGCCCAUGUUGGAUUCUCUCUCUUCACUGGCACCUGUCGGCCUCCUGGUCUCCUUCCACCUUUGAUGUUAACUGGCUAAUGCUGUGGUUCGUUUCCUGUUAUUUGCAACUUUGGAAUUAAAUGCAUAAAUGAAGUCAAAGCAAAUGAAAGGCCAAGGAAAUGAAAGUGCCAAUGUUCCACAAAGCAGAAAAAGUACCUAAUUUGAUGAAGAAAUCAUGCUGAUUCACCGGAAGAAAAUGGUCUUCAGCGUAAUCAACUAAACAUUUGUGUGUAAGUG